UGAUUUAAAACGAAAAACUAAAACAAAAAGAAAGAAAUUGAAGAAAUCACUUCAACAGAAGAACAAAGUGAUUUAAAACGAAAAACUAAAAAAAAAGAAAGAAAUUGAAGAAAUCACUUCAACAGAAGAACAAAGUGAUUUAAAACGAAAAACUAAAACAAAAAGAAAGAAAUUGAAGAAAUCACUUCAACAGAAGAACAAAGUGAUUUAAAACGAAAAACUAAAAAAAAAGAAAGAAAUUGAAGAAAUCACUUCAACGGAAGAACGAACUUUAAAACGAACAACUACAAUGCUUGAAACAGAUAAGACGACUUUUUCAUAACUGGGCAGAAAACAGCAAAUGUUUUCGUCCGACACAGCAAAAAAGCAAUUAAAAAGGACAAACAACAGCAAAAAGCAAUUUUUACGACAUUUUUCAUUUUCCGUAAAGAGACAAAAAGGAGAAAAAAGGUCGGGCGACUUUUUUCAUUUUUCAUAAGUGGGCAAAAAACAGCAAAAAAGCAAGGCUAUAGCCUUAACUUUUCGUCCAUUUUUAGCGACUUUUUUUAUUUUUCAUAAAGUGGGCAUAAAACAGCAAAAAAGUAAGGCUAUAUUUCCAUUUUUCAUAAGUGGCCAAAAAACAGCAAAAAAACCAGCAAAAAAGUAAGAAACAUGAAAAACGGCAAAAAAGUAAGGCUAUAUUUCCAUUUUGAAAAACAUGGACCUGAAAAACAUUUCAAACGUGAAAAACGGCAAAAAAGUAAGGCUAUAUUUCCAUUUUUCACAAGUGGUCGAAAAACAGCAAAAAAGUAAGGCUAUAUAGCCUUACUUUUUUUAUUUUUCAUAAGUGGGUAAAAAACAGCAAAAAAGUAAGGCUAUAUAGCCUUAACUUUUCGUCCAUUUUUGGCGACUUUUUUCAUUUUUCAUAAGUGGGCAAAAAAGUAAGGCUAUAGCCUUCGUCCAUUUUUAGUGCAGAGUUUCUUUGAAACUGUGCACUAUUGUGAUGAGUGGGAAAAUUCACAUCAGUCAGUCAGCCAGCCAGUCAGUCAGUCAUAGUGUUAACUUUCCGGGGGGGGGGGGUAUUAUGUGUAUACGAUUUAUGUUUGUAGUGAUUUAUUUUGUUUUGAAGGUUAUUUAGGCAAUUUCAGUUGUUUUAUUUAAAUAUUCUUUUGUCCUUUGGCCAAGUUCACAAAAAUUUCGAGGAAUUGUUGUCGUUAUUGUAAAUUUUUGUAAAUUUUAUAACAUUUGCUUCUCAUGUUGUGUGAAGGAUCUUUCCCCCGGAAAACCCAUUUUUUCUGUAGUAAUGGAAAAUGCGCAUGCGCUAUCAAGCCGUAGAUCACGAUGGCGUAACGACGCUAGGAAGGAGCGCUGGGGCGACACAGUGUUGUUUCAAAUUAUAAACAUUUUAGACGUGAAUAUUGGGUAAAUCUUUGAGAAUCUACGAUUAUAUAAAUCGAUGUUAUGCAUUACGGGCAUUCAAUUAAGUACCGAUAUUUUAACGGUAUGUUCAAUAUACGAAGCUAGGAAGCAGCGAGACAAGUGUUGUUUCGAAAUGUAUAAACAUUUCAGACGUGUAUUAUUAAAUUAAUAUAUUGAGAGUAAAUGUUCCACGAGGAACGACGUUUCUGAUUUGAAAUGCCUAUGGUAACUCUUUAUUUCGUGGUGUAAGCCAUCAGCUUUUCUAGGUUGUCGGCCACCUUAUACCAUAGAUAUGUUAUAUAAAAU
rnacentral:lncRNA from 1 species